rnacentral:rRNA from 1 species
UACGGAGGGUGCGAGCGUUGUCCGGAAUCAUUGGGCGUAAAGGGCGCGUAGGUGGCCCGGUCAGUUCGUGGUGAAAGCGCGGGGCUCAACUCCGCGUCGGCCAUGAAUACUGCUGGGCUGGAGCACUGUAGAGGCAGGCGGAAUUCCGGGUGUAGCGGUGGAAUGCGUAGAGAUCCGGAAGAACACCGGUGGCGAAGGCGGCCUGCUGGGCAGUGGCUGACACUGAGGCGCGACAGCG